rnacentral:rRNA from 1 species
UGGGGGAUAUUGCACGAUGGGCGAAAGCCUGAUGCAGCGACGCCGCGUGGGGGAUGAAGGCCUUCGGGUUGUAAACUUCUUUUGCUCUGAACAAGGCAUGCUAAUGGGUGUGUUGAGUGUAGGGGUUGAUUAGCGCCGGCUAACUACGUGCCAGCAGCCGCGGUAAUACGUAGGGCGCGAGCGUUGUCCGGAAUUAUUGGGCGUAAAGGGCUUGUAGGUGGCUGGUUGCGUCUGUCGUGAAAGCUCAUGGCUUAACUGUGGGUUUGCGGUGGGUACGGGCUGGCUUGAGUGCAGUAGGGGAGGCUGGAAUUCCUGGUGUAGCGGUGGAAUGCGCAGAUAUCAGGAGGAAUACCGGUGGCGAAGGCGGGUCUCUGGGCUGUUACUGACACUGAGGGGCGAAAGCAUGGGGAGCGAACAGG